GGACGAACGCUGGCGGCGUGCUUAACACAUGCAAGUUGUACGACGGUUUUUAUGAAGGUAGUAAUACUGGAUGAAGAUACGGAGUAGCGGACGGGUGAGUACAACAUGAGAAGCUAUCCUCUAAAGGGGGACAACGUUUGGAAACGAACGCUAAUACCCCAUAGGCCAUAUGGUUAAAGCAGCGAUGCGAUAGAGGAGGUGCUCGUGCCCUAUCAGCUAGUUGGUGAGGUAACGGCUCACCAAGGCAUUGACGGGUAGCCGGCCUGAGAGGGCGACCGGCCACACUGGAACUGAGAUACGGUCCAGACUCCUACGGGAGGCAGCAGUGGGGAAUAUUGGGCAAUGGGAGAAAUCCUGACCCAGCAACGCCGCGUGAAUGAAGAAGGCCCUUGGGUCGUAAAGUUCUUUUGCGCGGGAAGAAAGAAAUGACGGUACCGCGCGAAUAAGCCCCGGCUAACUACGUGCCAGCAGCCGCGGUAAUACGUAGGGGGCGAGCGUUGUCCGGAAUUACUGGGCGUAAAGGGCACGCAGGCUGUGCCGUAAGUCGGCUGUUAAAAGAUGCGGCUUAACCGUGUUUUGCAGUCGAAACUGCGGUGCUUGAGUACCGGAGAGGCAAGUGGAAUUCCCAGUGUAGCGGUGAAAUGCGUAGAUAUUGGGAAGAACAUCGGUGGCGAAGGCGACUUGCUGGUCGGUAACUGACGCUCUUGUGCGAAAGCCAGGGGAGCAAACGGGAUUAGAUACCCCGGUAGUCCUGGCGGUAAACGAUGAAUGCUGGGUGUGCGAGUAGAGAUACUGGCGUGCCGUAGUUAACGCGAUAAGCAUUCCGCCUGGGGAGUACGGUCGCAAGAUUGAAACUCAAAGGAAUUGACGGGGGCCCGCACAAGCGGUGGAGCACGUGGUUUAAUUCGAUGCAAA
rnacentral:rRNA from 1 species